rnacentral:lncRNA from 1 species
UGUCCCGCUCUCCAUGAUGGUUGCUCUUCAGCAUUUGGCUAAGGUCAGACAGGUACUUAGCACUUAUGAAAUGCAAGCUCAAGGCAGGCUGUGAGGAACAUCUUCUCUUACAGAAGUCUUUCUGGAAAGCCAAUGGAAAUUAUUUGCUCAAAUAUUACUGUGUCAUGACAAGAUUUUUGAAGCUGAUUGUUACCCCACGGAAUCCAAGUCACAAGCUCCUCCAGCAAUCAGUGGAACUAUUAAUUAACCUGGGGGCAGUCCCUGGCCCAUUGCAAGCAUGGCAAGAUCCAUGCAAGAGGGCAGAUAUGAAGGAAGAUACAGGACUCACAUUCCAGCAAAGAUGUCUACAGAGGGAUGUGCUUCCCUCUAAGGAGCUAUCAGGUCCCACUGACACUGCUGCCUCCUAA